AUGACCCGGGGGCGUCUGGGGGUGGCUGUGGGCCCCCCUGCCAGCAGUGACAGUGAGGAGAUGGAGGACAGACAGGGGUUUGGGCGAGUGUUGGAACCGCCCAGACCCAGACAGGACCCCCUGGGGCGCAGUGACAACGGCUACAGGUCCUCUCCAGACCCUGCCUCAAAGCCACAGAAAGCUGCAGCUAAGGCCCUCGAAAGCAGCUCUGAGCUGGAGCAGAUCUUCAAAAGCUUUGCAGGUGUCCAGAGUGAGAGUGAAGAGGAUGCAGAUUUCCACACAGUGAAUCGCUCCUUCAAUAUGACAUGUGGGGUGUGGGAGGGCUCAGGACAAAGGGAGGUUAGAUAUGAGAAGCAAAACUUCAACUCUGCACCCCAUAGAGAACAUAAUCAUCAGAUUAUAUUAGUUAAAAUGUUACACACUCAGUGUUAAACCCUUGACCUUGUGUGUCCAGGGGGAGGGGACCUCUGAGUCGGACUACACCCAGUCUCCUGUGGAGCCUUCCAGCAUGUUCUACACCCCCAACCCAGAGCAGAGGAACAACCCAUCCAGAGACAGCCAGGUCUAGUAGUUCUUAGUUAACGUAAUAGUUACAAUGCCUUCAGAAAGUAUUAAUACCCCUUGACUUAUUCCACAUUUUGUUGUUACAGCCUGAAUUCAAAAUGGAUUAAUAGAUUUUUGUUCUACCAUUAAAUAAAUAAAAAAACACCUUUAUUUAACCAGGUAGGCAAGUUGAGAACAAGUUGUCAUUUACAAUCGCGACCUGGUCAAGAUUAAGCACAGCAGUUCGACACAUACAACAACACGGAGUUACACAUAGAGUAGAACAAACAUACAGUCAAUAAUACAGUAGAAAAAGAAGUCUAUAUACAAUGUGCGCAAAUGAGGUGAGAUAAGGGAGGUAAAGGCAAAAAAUGGCCAAGGUGGUGAAGUAAAUGGUAGAUUUGCAGUGGAAGAAUGUGCAAAGUAGAGAGAAAUAAUGGGGUGCAAAGGAGCAAAAUAAAUAAAUACAGUAGGGGGAGAGGUAGUUGUUUGGGCUAAAUUAUAGAUGGGCCAUGUACAGGUGCAGUAAUUUGUUAGCUGCUCUGACAGCUGGUGCUUAAAGCUAGUGAGGGAGAUAAGUGUUUUCAGUUUCAGAGAUUUUUGUAGUUCGUUCCAGUCAUUGGCAGCAGAGAACUGGAAAGAGAGGCGGCCAAAGGAAGAAUUGGUUUUGGGGGUGACCAGAGAGAUAUACCUGCUGGAGCGCGUGCUACAGGCUAUGGUGACCAGCGAGCUGAGAUAAGGGGGGACUUUACCUAGCAAAGACUUAUAGAUGACCUGGAGCCAGUGGGUUUGAUGUAGCGAGGGCCAGCCAACGAGAGUGUACAGGUCGCAGUGGUGGGUAUUAUAUGGGGCUUUGGUGACAAAAUGGAUGGCACUGUGAUAGACUGCAUUCAAUUUAUUGAGUAGGGUAUUGGAGGCUAUUUUGUAAAUGACAUCGUCGAUGAUCGGUAGGAUGGUCAAUUUUACGAGGGUAUGUUUGGCAGCAUGAGUGAAGGAUGCUUUGUUGCGAAAUGGGAAGCCAAUUCUAGAUUUAACUUUGGAUUGGAGAUGUUUGAUGUGAGUCUGGAAGGAGAAUUUACAGUCUAACCAGACACCUAGGUAUUUGUAGUUGUCCACAUAUUCUAAGUCAGAACCGUCCAGAGUAGUGAUGUUGGACGGGCGGCAGGUGCAGGCAGCGAUCGGUUGAAGAGCAUGCAUUUCGUUUGACUUGUAUUUAAGAGUGAACCUGUUUUUAGAAAUGUUUGCAAAUGUAUUGAAAAUUAAAUCCAUAAAUAUCUCAUUUACAUAAGUAUUCACACCCCUGAGUCAAUACUUUGUAGAAGCACCUUUGGCAUUACAGCUUUGAGUUGUCUUGGCUAUGUCUGUAUCAGUUUUACACAUCUGGAUUUGGAGAUUUUCUCCCAUUGUUCCUUGCAGAUUUUCUCAACCUCUUGCUGUUCAGUUAAUCUUCAGGUUUUUCCACAGAUUUUCAAUGGGAUUCAAGUCUGGGCUUUGGCUGGGCCACUCAAGGACUUUCACAUUCUUGUUCUGAAGCCAUUCCAACGUUGCUUUGGCUAUAUGCUUAGGGUCGUUGACCUGUUGGAAUGUAAAUCUUAGCCCCAGUCUUUCAUUUACACUGAAGCAAGUUGUCAUAAAAGAUUUGCUUGUAUUUGUCUCCAUUCAUUGUUCCCUCUAUCCUUACCAGUCUCCCUAUCGCUGCCGCUGAAAAAUAUUCCCAAAGCAUGAUGCUGCCACCACCAUGGUUCACAGUAUGGAUGGUGUUAGAUAGGUGAUGAGCAGUGCCUGGUUCAGGCCAAAGAGUACAAUUUUUGUCUCAUCAGACCAAAGAAUCUUUCAUGUGCCUUUUUGCAAACUCCAGGUGUGGUGUCAUGUGCCUUUUAAUCAGGAUUGGCUUCCACCUGGCCCCUCUCCCAUAAAACCCAGAUUGGUGAAGUGCUAUAGAGAGACUGUUCUCCUAUCUCAGCCAAGGAACUCUGUAGUUCUGCCAGAAUUGGGUUCUUUGCCACCUCCCUGACCAAGGUCCUACUUGCCCGGUUGGAAGGCCAGCUCUAGGCAGAGUCUGGGUAGUUCCAUAUUUUUUCCAAUGAUGGAGACCACUGUACUCUUUUAAACUUUCAAUACUGUAGACAUUGUUUUAUACACUGUGUGGACACCCCUUCAAAUUAGUGGAUUUGACUAUUUCAGCCACACCUUUUGCUGACGGGUGUAUAUAAUCAAGCACACAGCCAUGCAAUCUCCAUAGACAAAAAUUGGCAGUAGACUGGCCAGUACUUAAGAGCUCAGUGACUUUCAAUCAAAUGUAUUUAUAAAGCCCUUCUUACAUCAGCUGAUGUCACAAAGUACUGUACAGAAACCCAGCCUAAAUCCCCAAACAGCAAGCAAUGUAGGUGUAGAAGCACUUUCAAUGUGGCACUGUCAUAGGAUGUCACCUUUACAACUAGUCAGUUUGUCAAAUCAAAUCAAAUUUUAUUUGUCACAUAAACAUGGUUAGCAGAUGUUAAUGCGAGUGUAGCGAAAUGCUUGUGCUUCU
rnacentral:lncRNA from 1 species